UCCAGUUGUUGGAUCAGUUACUUCUACCAAUUGUUCCCGUGUCACCCAGUUGGAUCAGUUACUUCUCUACCGAUUGUUCCCGUGUCAUCCAGUUGUUGGAUCAGUUACUUCUCUACCGAUUGUUGCAGUGUCGUCCAGUUGUUGGAUCAGUUACUUCUCUACCAAUUGUUGCAGUGUCGUCCAGUUGUUGGAUCAGUUACUUCUCUACCGAUUGUUCCCGUGUCAUCCAGGUGUUGGAUCAGUUAUUUCUCUAACGAUUGUUCCCGUUUCAUCCAAUUGUUGGACUAGUUACUUCUACUUGAAGAAAACAUCAACAGCUAUGAACAAAGAGAUCCAACUGUGUAUUCUUUGUGUUAAUGACAGUUUUAUAAUACUUUCAUUUGAGAGUUAGACCUUA